ACAGAAGUCUUGCUUGAUGCUCCUGGCUGAAUAAACCACUUCGUUCUUUAACUCGGUGUCUGAGGAGUUUUGUCUGUGGCUCGUCCUGCUACAUUUCUUGGUUCCCUGACUGGGAAGCGAGGUGAUUGGCAGAUGGUUGAGGCGCCUCCUUAGGCAGCUUAAGCCUGCCCUGUGGAAUAUCCCUGCAAGAGACUCUGACCAGCCUGAGCGACGCAGAUCCUGAGAGCGCUCCUGGGUAGGCAUUUGCCCCGGUGGGAUGCUUCACCACAGCAGUGUGUGGAAGGCCCCCAUGGAGGAUCAACGCGGUGGCUGAACACCAGGAAGGAACUGGUACUUGUAGCAGACAUCUGAAACUUGGAGAUGAACAAGCCAUGUGGGUGCCCUCAAGAAGUGUGCAACCAUGGAGACUGGAGGGACCCAUGGAUUCCAACUACAGGCCUUGUUACCCCAGUACAGGGCAUGAGCCAGUUGAAUCUGAAUGUGAAGACAGAAUGAGGACAGACCAGAGUCAUGUUGACAUCAACCCCCAUAACAUGGAGACAGAUCAAGAAAACCACACAGGAAGCUGAGUGACUGCUGGAACACCAGGGUUUCACCUUUUGCUGGAACUCAGAGGUCAGUGAGAGAGCAUAUGCCCUGGUAGCUUCCUGAGAAAAGGAACAGGAGGAUGAGAGGUUCAAUGUUUUAUACAUUGCUGGUCUGAUAUCUCAGCUUCAUUCAUAGAGGAGAUAGAUAUAAAAUGAGCAUUCCUCUUUGGAUAUAUCUCCUAAAGGAAAGGUGGCAGAUAUCAUGCAGGUAAGCCUUGUGUGUCUGUGUGUGUGGUUCUGUGUGCAUGUGUGUUUCUGUGUGUGGGGUUGGGGGCAGGCAGGAAGUGUGGUGUGUGCUUUCCCAUGUGUGAGGAUGGCAAGGUGAUGCCAACCUUACUGGCCAAGCCAGACCCUAGCAGCCUUUGGCUACACCUUUCUUCUAAGCCUUCCUCUUUCUUCUAAGCCUUCUCUUUCAUCCAUGAUUAGGUUUGCCUAUACAUGUCUUGUUCUGAUUUAGGUUACUUUCAUCUGAGUAUUUGUCUGUCGUUACCACUAACCACAGGUGUGGGAACCUCACCCUCUCUCCAAGUUGCUACUCUGCACCUUUUCCUUGCUAAGCCCAAGUCUUUAUUUUUAAAUAAUAAUGAGAGUGGUGUUAAAACAAAAAUCAAAAGACAGGUGGUAUGUUUCAUAAUCUUAUACAUUCUUUAUAUAUUAACUUUUAGAUUAUAAAGUUUCUAAUCUACCUACCAAAGAUUUGAUUUCAAUAGCUACAAAUGUGCUUCCAAAAGGAAAGUAUAAAAAGCCAAAUGGCAGUCAAACAAAUACUUUCUUAGGCAUCAUUUUUGUCCCAUGGUAAUUCUGGAAGCUAAACAGAUGUUUAUUGUACAAAUAUAGAAUGACCUGCAUAACUCCUUGCAGCUUUCUGACUUCUUAGUAACGAGACAAUUCAGAAGAGAAGGCAAUAGCAAGCAUAAAGUUAAUCAUAAAAAGCAGAGAAAGGUAAGGGAAAACUUCAUCUACAGUUAUUUGUUAGCAACGAAUUCGCUUAGAUUUUCUACAUCUGAGAAUGUUUUUAUUUCUCUGUCAUUCCUGAGGGAUAUUUUCACCAGUACUUGCAGCUGACAGUUCUUUUCUUCAGUAUUUGAAAACUGCUGUGCCACUUCCUUUUGGCCUCUGUGGUUUCUGAUGAGAAAUUCACUGCCAUUUGAAUUGGUGUCCUAUGAAUAACGUGUUGUUUCUCCCUGGCUGAUUUCAAAAUUUUUAAUUUGUCAUUAGCUUACAGAGGUUUAAUUAUGAUGUUUCUUGGUAUGGAUUUCUUUGGAUUUAUCCUAUUUGGAAUUUUAUGUUUCUUGAAUGUGUAGAUUGAAUAUCUUUCACCAAAUUUGGGAAGUUUGUAUCGAUUCUUCUGUAAACAUUUUUUUU